rnacentral:misc_RNA from 1 species
UCCACCCGGCAUACCUCUUCAGUUGCUUGUUUAGGCUUGUAUCGUCUAGGCAGAUUGUGGGUUGACUGUGUUGCCUACCUAAGUGAUGGCAUUGUCCCGGUUGAUCAUAGUUUAUUUCGUCUUGUGUCAUUGUUAUGGCAUCAGAUGAACCAUGAAGCGGUCUCUUUGAUCCACACAUCGUUGAUGUUGUGGCCCAUUGAGCGUUGCUUGGUAUCCUGGAUAUGGAAAAUAAUGUGGGCAUGGGGUCUCAUGGGAUCCUUGUUUUGCCCUCAKUUAGCGUUUGUGCCUCUCUUUAAACGGGCUGUCUUGCCCGAUUUGGCUUGUGCUAUCGGGAGGGUUUGUGAAAGAGUGGCACAUAUCCUUGAAUGACCUGCCUGCCCUGCAUUGUCUUGUACAAACGGGCGGGUUAUGUCAGUGAGGAAUGCUACCUGGUUGAUCCUGCCAGUAGUCAUAUGCUUGUCUCAA